rnacentral:rRNA from 1 species
CAGUCGAGCGGUAGCACAGAGAGCUUGCUCUCGGGUGACGAGCGGCGGACGGGUGAGUAAUGUCUGGGAAACUGCCUGAUGGAGGGGGAUAACUACUGGAAACGGUAGCUAAUACCGCAUAACGUCGCAAGACCAAAGUGGGGGACCUUCGGGCCUCAUGCCAUCAGAUGUGCCCAGAUGGGAUUAGCUAGUAGGUGGGGUAACGGCUCACCUAGGCGACGAUCCCUAGCUGGUCUGAGAGGAUGACCAGCCACACUGGAACUGAGACACGGUCCAGACUCCUACGGGAGGCAGCAGUGGGGAAUAUUGCACAAUGGGCGCAAGCCUGAUGCAGCCAUGCCGCGUGUGUGAAGAAGGCCUUCGGGUUGUAAAGCACUUUCAGCGGGGAGGAAGGCGAUGAGGUUAAUAACCUUGUCGAUUGACGUUACCCGCAGAAGAAGCACCGGCUAACUCCGUGCCAGCAGCCGCGGUAAUACGGAGGGUGCAAGCGUUAAUCGGAAUUACUGGGCGUAAAGCGCACGCAGGCGGUCUGUCAAGUCGGAUGUGAAAUCCCCGGGCUCAACCUGCGAACUGCAUUCGAAACUGGCAGGCUAGAGUCUUGUAGAGGGGGGUAGAAUUCCAGGUGUAGCGGUGAAAUGCGUAGAGAUCUGGAGGAAUACCGGUGGCGAAGGCGGCCCCCUGGACAAAGACUGACGCUCAGGUGCGAAAGCGUGGGGAACAAACAGGAUUAGAUACCCUGGUAGUCCACGCCGUAAACGAUGUCGAUUUGGAGGUUGUGCCCUUGAGGCGUGGCUUCCGGAGCUAACGCGUUAAAUCGACCGCCUGGGGAGUACGGCCGCAAGGUUAAAACUCAAAUGAAUUGACGGGGGCCCGCACAACC